AGAGGGUUUGAUCAUGGCUCAGAACGAACGCUGGCGGCGUGGAUUAGGCAUGCAAGUCGAACGAGAAAGCACCCUUCGGGGUGUGAGUACAAUGGCGAACGGGUGAGUAACGCGUGGGAAACCUGCCUUUGAGCGGGGGAUAACAGUUCUAACGGACUGCUAAUACCGCAUGAUGCUGUUGAUCGCAUGUUCAACAGUUAAAGAUGGCCUCUACACGUAAGCUGUCGCUUAGAGAUGGUCCCGCGUCCUAUUAGCUUGUUGGUGGGGUAACGGCCUACCAAGGCGACGAUGGGUAGCCGGCCUGAGAGGGUGGUCGGCCACACUGGGACUGAGAUACGGCCCAGACUCCUACGGGUAGGCAGCAGUCGAGAAGCUUCGGCAAUGGGGGCAACCCUGGACCGAGCGACGUCGCGUG
rnacentral:rRNA from 1 species